CUAUCUUUGUGCCGUUAAGGUUCUUUCCGACAGAUGUCUACGGAAAGAUUAAAAGGGAAUGUCGUGUAAACCGGCAACAGUUCUCGCUGCUGUAAAUUUCAUUUCUCCUAUUAAUAGGGGAAUAUAUAGAGAAAAAAAGCCACUGGUCUUAACAAGAUUGGGAAGGCGUAUCUAUUAAGAAAUGAGUCAGAAGACCUACCUAUACAAAAAAGGAAUA
rnacentral:ncRNA from 2 species